rnacentral:tRNA from 1 species
UAGGAAUUGGUGUAGUGAAGCACUAAGAGUUUUGAUCUCUUUGGUGAGGGUUCGAAUCCCUUUUUCCUAA